rnacentral:pre_miRNA from 1 species
CAAGUACUCCCUCCGUCCGGAAUUACUUGUCAUCAAAAUGGAUGUGUCUAGAACUAAAAUACAUCUAGAUACAUCCAUUUCAAUGACAAGUAUUUUCGGGCGGAGGGAGUAGAAC